UACGUAGGGGGCGAGCGUUGUCCGGAGUACUGGGCGUAAAGCGCACGCAGGCGGUCUGUUAAGUUUGGAGUGACAGUUGGUGGCUCAACCACCAAAGUGCUUUGAAAACUGAUAGACUUGAGGGCUUCAGAGGGACACGGAAUUCCGGGUGGAGUGGUGAAAUGCGUAGAGAUCCGGGAGGAACACCAAAGGCGAAGGCGAGUGUC
rnacentral:rRNA from 1 species